GAUGAGGAACGUAGUGAAAUGCGAUACUUGGUGCGAAUUGCAGAAUCCCGUGAACCAUCGAGUCUUUGAACGCAAGUUGCGCCCGAAGCCAUCAGGUUGAGGGCACGUCUGCCUGGGCGUCACAUAUCGUUGCCCAAUGCCUAUUGCAGUGCAAUAGGAAUUUCUAGGGCGAAUGAUGGCUUCCCGUGAGCGUUGUUGCCUCGCGGUUGGUUGAAAAUCGAGUCCUUGGUAGGGUGUGCCAUGGUAGAUGGUGGUCGAGUUAGAACGAUACCGAUCAUGUGCAUGCUCCCCAAAAUAUGGCCUCUAUGACCCACACGCGUCUUUUGACGCUCAUGACGAGACCUCAGGUCAGGCGGGGCUACCCGCUGAAUUUAAGCAUAUCAAUAAGCGGAGGA
rnacentral:misc_RNA from 1 species